rnacentral:siRNA from 1 species
UGGAUCGACGUGUAUCCUUGCAAG